UUUUCAAAAACACCCUUCAUUUUCAUAUAAAUCACAACCCAAUCCAAUACGUCCGACCUGUACAGCAAUCAUGUGCAUAUAUUUUACAGAUAAACCCUCGUAACAAAAUUUAUUUUGACACAAAGAAGAGAAAAAUCGAUGGUGCUGUCAUUUUUGCAGAAACCACCUUGAGGCGAUUUUCCAAGCACCCCCUCCCACCACCCAACCGGUCACCCCCCGCCCCCUUCCCCCAACCCGAACCCAAUCCUUCGUCCUCGACGCCGCCCUCUCUCUCCCUCCCCGCCGCCACCUCCCCUCCCUCGCUCCAUCCCUCCUCUCAGCCUCCCCGCCGCCUCCCCUCCCCUUGCCCUCUCUGCCUGCCUUCGACGCGACGCGUAAGCUCGGCGCUGAGGUCCACGACGAUGGGGGUCAGCGAGAGGGAGAGCGGGAGCGGGGCGCGGAGAUGGAAGACGUGCGGGAAGAGGCGGAGGAAGUUCGGCAGCGUGAGCGGCUCGGGGGAGGCCGGCAGCGCGUCGACCAGCGGCGAGGUCAAUACGCUGCGGUUGUACCUCACUUGCAUCCGGAACACUCUGGAGGCGGCGAUGUGCCUCCAGCUACUGUGAGACCUUGAACUGGUAGCCGGCCGCGUCGCCAUCGGCGGCGAGGGCGGCGGCUGGCUGCGCAUCGCCUGCACGACCUUGUCAUGCCUAAAUUUCAUGGUGUAUGGCGCUCCUCGUGCAGGGCUAUGGAAUGACUGAAACUUGUGGAAUCAUAUCUUUAGAGUACCCAGAAAAAGGACAAGCUCGUCAAUUUGGGUCAACUAGAUCACUUGUCUCAGGAGUUGAAGCAAAGAUUGUAGAUAUAUAAACAUUGAAAUGUCUGCCAGCAAAGCAACUAGGAAAAAUUUGUGUUCGGAGGACCGAACAUAAUGCGAGGUAAUAUUUUGAUCAUUGACUGUAUAAAAAAAACUCGAUCUGUGGGGAGAAAGACCUCCCCUACGGUAUUGUACUAAGAAGAAGACCUUCUCACAUAGGCCGAGAAAACUCCCGAACCCCUGCCCCCACCCGUACACGGGGUCCGUCGCCUUGUGAGUAGGCUGGACCAUACACGUGCUUUGGACAUGGGACAGGCGAGUGGAUUUUUUUCUGCAGCACCACGGGCUCGAACACGGGCGGGUGCGCUCCCCACCGGGAGGUCGCACCAACCGAGCUACGCUCGGUCUGCAUCAUUGACUGUAUAUAUUGUGUUCUCAUUCUUUCUCCAUAUCGUCAGCUAUUAAACAUUACCGAGCCCAGUCAAAAAUAUUACACUGGGCUGUAGCUGUAGUAAUUGAUAGUAUUGUUUUUAGUUGCACACUGACAAUAGAUCCAAAAGUUCUCCAUAAUAUUCUGUCCUGGAGGGAUAUUGUGGCCAAAACAUUUUCCUACUUAUUGAAUGUAUUAUUUUUAGGGUAUUUUAACAUUGUGCAAGCUACUGAUCUGUGUAGAUUCUGUAGUAUGCUUAUGGAAGUAUGUUGUGUUGUAGAGAUAGAUUCAGUUUCAUUUUCAGUUUAUGUUCAUGGCCAUGUUCAGAGCUUUAUUAAUUUUACCGGAUUUUGUCGUCUCUCUCUGGAGGUGCUUCUGGAUGAAGAUGAACAAGGGAUCUUAAGAUAAACUCAAUUAACUCCUUUUGAUAACAGCUUGUAUUAGUGUUUAAGAUGAUCCAAAGCAUUCUUCCAAGGCUGCAGAAGUGCUAACAAAGUUUUGAAUCAAUUCGCAUGAAUGAAAACUUUAGAAAUAUCUUAGUUAGGACAAAAAGGACAUAGAAUUUAUUUCCAUUUGGUAUUCAUUUGUGCUUGAAUGAGGUGAAAUCUUAGCGAGGGAUUGUACCUUCUUUUUUAGGUUUGGUGUACUUUACUGCUGUUUAGAGAUGUAUGUCCGUCAAAUGAUCAUAACAAUAAGAGUCUAUUUUACCUUCUGACAGUAAAAGGUAGAGAA